CCAGACUCCUACGGGAGGCAGCAGUGGGGAAUAUUGCACAAUGGGGGAAACCCUGAUGCAGCGACGCCGCGUGAAGGACGAAGUAUUUCGGUACGUAAACUUCUAUCAGCAGGGAAGAAAAUGACGGUACCUGACCAAGAAGCCCCGGCUAACUACGUGCCAGCAGCCGCGGUAAUACGUAGGGGGCAAGCGUUAUCCGGAUUUACUGGGUGUAAAGGGAGCGUAGACGGCCGUGCAAGUCUGAUGUGAAAACCCGGGGCUCAACCCCGGGACUGCAUUGGAAACUGCAUGGCUGGAGUGUCGGAGAGGCAAGUGGAAUUCCUAGUGUAGCGGUGAAAUGCGUAGAUAUUAGGAGGAACACCAGUGGCGAAGGCGGUCUGCUGGACAGCAACUGACGCUGAGGCGCGAAAGCGUGGGGAGCAAACAGGAUUAGAUACCCCCGUAUA
rnacentral:rRNA from 1 species